GAUGAACGCUGGCGGCGUGCCUAAUACAUGCAAGUCGAGCGAACGGACGAGAAGCUUGCUUCUCUGAUGUUAGCGGCGGACGGGUGAGUAACACGUGGAUAACCUACCUAUAAGACUGGGAUAACUUCGGGAAACCGGAGCUAAUACCGGAUAAUAUUUUGAACCGCAUGGUUCAAAAGUGAAAGACGGUCUUGCUGUCACUUAUAGAUGGAUCCGCGCUGCAUUAGCUAGUUGGUAAGGUAAAGGCUUACCAAGGCAACGAUGCAUAGCCGACCUGAGAGGGUAAUCGGCCAAACUGGAACUGAGACACGGUCCAGACUCCUACGGGAGGAAGCAGUAGGGAAUCUUCCGCAAUGGGCGAAAGCCUGACGGAGCAACGCCGCGUGAGUGAUGAAGGUCUUCGGAUCGUAAAACUCUGUUAUUAGGGAAGAACAUAUGUGUAAGUAACUGUGCACAUCUUGACGGUACCUAAUCAGAAAGCCACGGCUAACUACGUG
rnacentral:rRNA from 1 species